GGUGAGGUGUCCGAGUGGCUGAAGGAGCACGCCUGGAAAGUGUGUAAACGCAAGUUUCGAGAGUUCGAAUCUCUCUCUCACCGCCA
rnacentral:tRNA from 1 species